GUCGUAACAAGGUUUCCGUAGGUGAACCUGCGGAAGGAUCAUUACCACACCAAAAAAACUAUCCACGUGAACCGUCAAAAAAAGAUUCGUACUGUGACGUCGUUUGUUGUAUUAGUAGUAAGCUUUAUUUUCGGAUAGAGUCUGCGAAGGUGCAAUCGAGGGCGUGGGUCAGUUAAUCGAAGGCUGUGAGUCUCUUUGAUUGCUAUGUUCCAAUUCCCUUGUAGUUCAAGGUGUUGUAAUUGUGCGAUUGGAGGUUCGCGGCUGAUCUAUUCUAUUUCAAACCCAUACCUACAUUUACUGAUUAUAUUGUGAGGACGAAAGUCCUUGCUCUUACUAGAUAACAACUUUCAGCAGUGGAUGUCUAGGCUC
rnacentral:misc_RNA from 1 species